rnacentral:lncRNA from 1 species
GCUGACGGCCCUAGGGCGCAUGUGCGAGCCAUCCCGCUACACUUCCCGCCCCCCACCUCCACCCCGCCCCCACCUGGAGGGAUGCGAGUCGAUCUACAGUUGUCUGGUGGGGGACUGAGAUGGGAUGCCACAGUCUGGUCCUGCUCUGUAGCCUGGGCUGCUGUCAAUCUUGAGAUCUCCCAGCCACAGCCUCAAGUGCUGAGAAACCAGGUGCGGCUGUAAGCAUCUAAAACAAGGUAGCUUGAGCCGCUGCCUAGUCUCUGGCCUGGAACUCCCCGUGGAGAGGAGACUGGGCUGGAACUCGUAGCUACCUCUGCCCCUGCCUCCCACGCUGCUGUUAACUAACAACCCUCCAGUUAGCUCAUCCCAGGAAAUCCAUAAAAGCCUUUUAU